rnacentral:misc_RNA from 1 species
AAGUCGUAACAAGGUAUCCGUUGGUGAACCAGCGGAUGGAUCAUUACCUGACAUGUUCAUGCCAAAUUUGGUGUGGCUGACUCUGGUUGGCCUCUGGCUUGGUUGGUUAAUCAGCCUGCCAGUACUUGUAGUGUGCAAUGACGAGAAGUUGGUGUUGAGGCCAACGGUAAGUCGCACGCUUGACGAGUGAAGGGGUUGUUGGGACGGAUGAAAGUAUCCAGGCGAGAUGCCUCCUCAACCCCUAAGACUGCCGAUGACUUCACUUAAGCGAUUGUCUCUAAAGAUGACAACUGCUGGCCGUGGAUCACUUGGCUGACG